GAGAACGCACAACAGAAAGAGCAGAGGCAGAGACAACAGCACAAGAGAGAGAACGCACAACAGAAGGAAGUGCAGGAUGAAAUGGAAAAGGACCCAGAGCAAAGGCAGCAAAAGGAGAUGGAGAGAGAUAAAGAGCUUGAAAACCAAAAAGAACGAGAGAGAAAGUGGCAAACGGAGAAAGAAAAACUGCCUGGAAUUCAAAAGCGAAAAGAGAUUGAAAGCCAAAGGUUUACUGAGAGAGACCAGCAGAAUGCAAUAUAUAAACAGAAUGAUGUGGAAAAACAGGAUUUAGACCAACCAAAGAUGGCAGCAAAAACUCCAAUCCAGAAAAAAGAUAAACCUGUGGAGGUUAGCAUGCAAAGGUCUGAAUGCCAAAACAGUACAGACAAAGUAGCAAUCCAUUACGCUGCAAGAAGGAAACGUCCAAGAGGAUUGUAUCAGCCAGUGGUCCAAGCUACUGGUAAUCACCGGCCAACACCACGCCGCAUUAAGUCAUCCUUACAGAACACUGUCGACCAAACACCUGCCCCAGUGGAGACUCUGCCUGAUUCAACACCUUUCCAGCAGAGGGACUCUGAUGAUACUCUUAAUGGAAACAACACGGACAUCAUGCCGUCUGAGAGAACAUUGGAGGCAGAAAGAGAGGCGGCUCAGCAGCAGGAACAAAAGAGAGAAGAGCAGGAAAAAGCAACAGAACAGAUACAAAUUGAAAAAGAGAGAGAAAUUGAGAUGGAAGAAAAAAGAACGGUUGUGGUGGAGACGCCCAGGACAACAGAGCCAGAGAGAAAGAUGGACAGAGGUAAAGAAUGGAGGGGAAAAAUGAAGCACGAAGAGCCCCAGGUUUGCUCAGAAGAGCAAGUGCAUGCCCUGAGCGGGUGUGGCAGGUGUGAGUGAUGACGAGGUGGAGGAGCUGUCUGGGAGCGUUCUCCUGACCUCAGCUGAGGACGACAGAACUCCAGGUGCCACAGACUUCAGUAGCGCAGCAAACGCAGACAGUGGGACCAGACAGGACAAAAGUGUGCCGAGGAGGGUUUUUGGGUGGGUGAACAAACGCGUAAAAAACUACUACCAGAAGAAAAUUGAACGGACACAUGUGAGAGAGGAGGAGGAAGGAGACCAAGAUUACCACCCAUGGUAUUUUGAUUGCCCAAUUUCUCGAGCAGAGAGAGAGCUGCAGAAAAGACAGGAGCUGUUAAAGAAAGAGGCCACACGACAACGAAUUGAGGCCUCCUGGCGAAAUUGGGAGGCUAAGAUCGCUAAGAAGAAGGAGAAGGCGAGGGCUAAAAAGCAAGAAAAUCAGCAGAAAUUAAAGGAUAUAGAAGAGCAUCUCCGUUAUUUAGCAAACUACUAGUCAGUGAACAGAAAGACCAAGGCUCAACUUCAGACAGGAUUUUAUUUCAUUUUACUUUAUUUAAUUUAUAUUUUUUAACAACCA